rnacentral:rRNA from 1 species
CAAACGUUGUUCGGAAUCACUGGGCUUAAAGGGCGCGUAGGCGGGUUCCCAAGUCGGUGGUGAAAUCUUUCAGCUCAACUGGAAAAGUGCCGCCGAUACUGGGAGUCUUGAGGGAGGUAGGGGUCGAGGGAACUAAUGGUGGAGCGGUGAAAUGCGUAGAUAUCAUUAGGAACGCCGGUGGCGAAAGCGCUCGACUGGACCUCUUCUGACGCUGAGGCGCGAAAGCCAGGGGAGCAAACAGG